CAUUAUCAUGGGGUGGGCAUGGCAGCCUCGGUACAGCCUUAUAUAUAAAAAAGGUAGAGAGUAAAAGACCAAAAGACAAAGAUCAAUUUUAGUUACAGAGCUGUCUUGAUACUCAUACAUAUUUUGGUUCGUUCACAUCCAUAGACAUAUAUUUCCUCAUCCUUUUUCUCUCCCUCGCAUCUCCUCAUGGAUGAAGCUCAUGUGCAUGGCCUAUAUAUGUUCCACAGUGAAUAUAACAAGACAAUACACUCUGAAGUCCUGCCUCUCUUCGACUAGUCAGGCGUCAUCUGGCUUUGGCGUACAGUGCAGAUGUGAGCCAAAUUGUCAACCCAUAUUAUUCUUAUCUCCUUGUGAAUUGGUAGUCUCCUCGGACUUGCAAAUAGGGACAACCAAUUCACAGUGAGUUAUCUGUUACUAACCCACAUUACUCUGAUCUCCUCGUGACUUGGGAGCCUCCUCGAACUUGCAAAGAGGAACACCUAAUUCACAGCGAGUUCAAGAGGAAAGUGGACUGAUAUUACCCACGACUGCACCUCAACAAACCCUGGACACAAUUACAUAAUGCCACUCUCUUAAAAUAUAGAUACAUUAGAUAUAUUUGCAACUAAUUCUGGUAAUUUUUUUACUAUGUACGUAAUGCCACUUUCUUUUGCCCGUGUAGUAGUAGUGAGUCUUAAUGCCCUAGAGUGCUUGAAACAGACACCAGUGUGCUUAGCUUAACGUAAUGAUAAGUGAACUACAGCUUCCACCAGCCAGCUACUCGAGUCCCUUCCCUUCAUAUAAUUUGAUACAGAAAGUGUUUGAAGUUAAGUCAGUGCUCAGAUCAGUGACGGUGGGUAAUAAGAAGGUGAGGGAAGGGGUGAGAUUUAUAGGACAUUUUUACCAUAGUGUGGACAUUGUUUCUCAGUCACUAGAACAAACUCCCUUCAUAUGAUCAGUGUAGAAAGUGUUUGAAGUGAAGUCGUUGCUAAGAAAAGUGACACUGGGUAAUAAUAAGGUGUGGGAAGGGGUGAGGUUUAGAGGACUAGCUGUUAUGAUAGUGUGGACAGUGUUUCUCAGUCACUGGAACAAACUCCCUUCAUAUCAAUCAGUGUAGAAAGAGGUUUAAGUGAAGUCAGUGCUAAAAUCAAUGACUCUGGGUAAAAGGAAGGAGAGGAAGGGGUGAGGUUUACAGGACUAGCUGUUAUGAUAGUGUGGACAUUGUUUCUCAGUCACUGGAACAAACUCCCUUCAUAUCAAUUAGUGUAGAAAGAGGUUUAAGUGAAGUCAGUGCUAAAAUCAAUGACUGGGUAAAAGGAAGGUGAGGAAAGGGUGAGGUUUAGAGGACUAGCUGUUAUGAUAGUGUGGACAUUGUUUCUCAGUCACUGGAACAAACUCCCUUCAUAUCGAUCAGUGUAGAAAGUGUUUGAAGUGAAGUCAGUGCUAAAAUCAAUGACUCUAGGUAAUAAUAAGGUGAGGGAAAGGCUGAGAUUUAGAGGACUAGCUUUACCACAGUGCGAACAUUGUUUAUCAGGCACUGGAACAAACUCCCUUCAUAUCGACCAGUGCAGAAAUAGGUUUAAGUGAGUUCAGCACAAAAAUCAAUGACUCUAGGUUAUAAGAAGGUAGGAAAAGGGGUGAGGCUUAGAGGAAUAGCUGGUUGGUGGACUCUUUAGAACAGACAAAGUGCAAACAAACAUACAAAAGAAAAUUCAUUUCAUCUAAGUACAAAAUAUGCAUUCUCUCGCCACUUAAUAUUUACCUAUGUGCUUAUUACAUGUGGUGCUUACAGGUUGUUUAUUACAUAUGGCAAAUCAUGAGGCAGGUGUCACGUAUAUAUAAAGUCUCAUGUUUUGUGUGUGUGUAUCAAGAGAAAUAUCUGGAGUUUUACACUUGCAAAUAAUUGAGGUUUUUAUACAAAUUAUGAGGGUGAACAAAUACUGAUGCAAGAAGAAGAGGAGGAGGAAGAGAAAGAAGGGUGGGAGAAAGGGAGAUGAUAUGAUGAAGGAAGGAAUAGAGAAGGAUAGAGAAAGGAGGGAAGGAGGAGGAGGAGGAAAAAACUUUAUUUACUGCUUUGAAAAUGGCACUUUUUGUGUUAUAUUUACCAAAGUGAUCACAUGCGUGGUUCACCAGUGCUUGGAUCUUACAGCCACUAAUCAUUCCCAGGUGCCACACAUUUUCAAAAUAUGAGACUGAGUGGAAGGAAAAUCUUUACUGUCCCAAGUAGUUUGUCUGCAAUGAAAUCAUUUAUUUUACCUUGAUUGUUACUUGAAUGCCUCCUGAAGGUCCUCCUGGAGCACCUUGAUGACCUAUUGAAGGUCAAGGAAUACCUACAUGGUACUUUCUCCUGCCUUUUCUUGCAGUAUAGAAUUUCUUGAUUUCUUCCGAGAAUUCUGACUCACAGUAUAGUACAUAAGUUUUUACAGCAAGCUGGUAUCAACUGAGCCAAAGGCAUCUUUUAUACUGUCUUAACAUAAUAGAGAUCUCCCUCAUUUCCCAGCACAGACAGAGCAUUUUUCUAUUGCUCUACAAGUCCAGGUGGCCUUUUAAAGACUUCUUCCAUGUUGGCGACAAGGUAUCUGAUAAGCCACAUGCUGGCUUUUAGCUUGUCACCACCCAAGCUUGUAUAAACACCCAUGAAAAGAGGGCGCACUCCUCCAGUUCUUUUGGGAAGGAGUUUUACUUUCCCUUGCACUUCAACACUAUCUGGCUGAGUAGUAAAUAGGGUGCUACUUUUCUGUGAAAGAGCACAAAAUGUGCCUUUCCUGAAGAAAAAAAAUCUGAUUGCUACCUCCAGAAAUUUUGGAGGUGACAACAAAAGCCUUAAGAGAUGCAAUGAUAAUCUUUUGCAAUAUCCAAAUAAAAAACUUACUGAGUACAUACAUAGGUGUACAUACAUAGGAAGAAGCAUAGAAGGGAAGAAGAGAAGAGAAAAUUAAAAAAGGAAGAAGAAAAAGAAUAUGAAGAAUAAGAACAAGAAAAGCAGGAUAUUGAGAAAGAUAAAGGAAGAAAGAUGGUAGGAGGAGGACAAGGAAUCAUAGUAGAGGAGGACAAAAAAGCAAUACUCAGAGGUAGAAGAAAAUUUUAGAUGAAGAAAAGAAUGAGAACAAGGACAAGAAAGAACCAGAAACCCUCUAAUGAACAACUUGAACAGAGUGAAAGAUGGGAAGAGGAGGAGGAGGAGGAGGAAAAGGAAUCAUAGUAGAGGAGGACAAAAAAGCAAUAAUCAAAGAAAGUAGAAGAAAAUUUAAGAAGAUGAAGAAUGAGAACAAGAACUAGACGAAGAACAAGAAAAGGAAGACAACAAUAAACAUUGAACAAGGAGGAGAAAGAAACAAAGGAAGGAAGGAAGAAAAGAGUGAAUGAGUGAAUAUAGGAAGGAAGGAAAGGAAAAAGAAAGUAAGAAAGUAAGAUAUAGAUAGAUAGACAGACAGGAAGAAAAAAAUAAAGAGGAGACAAACUCACCCUGACACCCAUAACAAAAGGAAGAAUCAGGGAAACUUUUGAGCACCUGUAGACAUGAGCACAGUACUCACUUCUCUAAAGGGAUAGAUAGAUACAGAUAGAUAAUAGAUAGGAAAAAAGAAAAUAAAGAGGAGACAGAAACUCACCCUGACACCCAUAACAAAAGCAAGAAUCAGGGACAAUUUUGAGGACCUGUAGACAUGAGCACAGUACUUACUUCUCCUCUAAAGGGACAGAUAGAUAGAUAGGAAGAAAGAAAAUAAAGAGGAGACAGAAACUCACCCUGACACCCAUAACAAAAGCAAGAAUCAGGAACAGUUUUGAGCACCUGUAGACAUGAGCACAGUACUCACCUCUCCUCUAAAGGGAUUGGGGAUAGCUUGGGAGGCCUGACCUGGCAAAGAUGCAUAAUAAACAGUGCAUUCAGCCGGUGAUGUGAUACCUGAGAGAACUGUAUAACAUAAUGCAUAAAUCCCUGCUUGGAGGGCGUCAACAACACAGGUACAAUGUUAACUCAGUGAGGGUACAACAGUAAGGGGUCGUUGAACAAUGCUAAAUGCCUCGGCGAACAGGAACGAAUGGAGACUCAACUAAGAGGUAAAGGUAGGCAAUGAUCAGGUAUAUAAUAGGUGUUAGGAUACAAUGAUGUGGUUUGAAGGUACAACAGAGAGUCCUUGAUCAAUCUAAACACCUCGUUAAACAAUGCUAAAUGCCUCGGCGAACAAGAACAAAUGGAGACUCAACUAAGAGGUAUAAUAUAAGGUAGUGAUCAGGUAUAUCGUAAAUGUUAGGGUACAAUGAUGUGCUUAUUAAAGGUACAACAGGGAAUCCUUGGUCAUUCUAAACACCUUGACAAACAGGAACAGAGAGUCCAUUGAGAGGUAAAGUUAAGGUAGGUAAGGUAAGGUUGAGUUAAGUUAUAAGGUUAAAUUAGAAGGUUAGAAGGUUAGGUUAUGUCAACUGAGAGGUAAAGUUAAGUUAAGUUAAGGUAAGGUAAGGUAAGGUAAGGUAAGGUAAGGUUGAGUUAAGUUAUAAGGUUAAAUUAGAAGGUUAGAAGGUUAUGUUAUGUUAACUGAGAGGUAAGGUAAGGUAAGGUAAGGUAAGGUAAGACAAGGCAAGGCAAGGUAAGGUAAGGUAAGGUAAGGUAAGGCAAGGUAAGGUAAGGUAAGGCAAGGUAAGGUAAGGUAAGGUAAGGUAAGGUAAGGCAAGGCAAGGUAAGGUAAGGUAAGGUAAGGUAAGGUAAGGUAAGGCAAGGCAAGGCAAGGUAAGGUAAGGUAAGGCAAGGCAAGGUAAGGUAAGGUUGAGUAAGGUUAUAAGGUUAAAUUAAAAGGUUAUGUUAUGUUAAAAGGGAAGCUAAUAGUCAGGUAAUAUGUGUCCAGAUCUGAUACUAAUGGUCUUAUGUUGAUAAAAAGAUAUAGAAAAAAUGGAAAGAAAAGGAUAGAAAUCGGUGAAAUAGGUUAUGAGGUAAAAUUAAAAGGCUACAUCUAUGAGGCAUGAAUCAACAGGGAACAGUUCGGGGUAGAAAUUAAAAAGAAAUACACAUAAUAGGAAUUGAAAGUCAUAAUCUGAUGUGUAUGAUUCCAAGAUGAACAAAGAUACCCAUGUUCAAAGAAAGCCUGCAGGGAAGUGGAGGAAAAUGUUAAGUAAUGCAGUGGAGAUAGUUUACAGAUAUAGAGCUAAAUGAUAUACCCACUCCUCUCUUUUUGAAGUUCUGUACAUACCAACCAAACCCUAGAGUCAUAAAUGAGAAAGGGCUGCUGGGAAGGAGGAGGAAAAUGUAAAGUAAUGCAGUGGAGAUAGUUCAAGUAUUGAGCUAAAUGAUAAAGCCACUCCUCUGUACAUAGCAAACCCUGAAUUCGUAACUGAUAAAUGUCUACUGAGAAGGGGAGGAAAAAGGAAAGUAAAGCAGUGGAGAUAGUUCAGGUAUUGAGCUAAAUGAUAAAGCCACUCCUCUGUACAUAGCAAACCCUGAAUUCGUAACUGAUAAAUGUCUACUGAGAAGGGGAGGAAGGGCUAUUACAGAAAACAUAAAUCACAGGUACAACUAAACAAAAUCGAUACUAUUAAUUUUUAGACACUCUUUGUACAUUGUGGUCUUGUUACUACCAGGAUUCAUCAAUUAAUACACACAGAAAUGCAAACAGCAACAACUUCAACGUUUGUGAAUUGUUUCUGGAUUGACCAAAACACACACAAAAAAAUAGCAUUCACUCAGUUCAUUAACUUAUACAAUUGUGAAGCAUACAUUAACAUUUCUGUCAAUAAUAAAUUGUUUCGCAUUGACUGCAAAUGUAUAAAUAAAAACAACAAAAACUAAUAGUACAAUCGUAAUAACAAUCACACGAUCAUAAUAAUAAUAACAAUAAGAUCACUAAGUUUGCACAUCAGUUUAAAGUAAUUCCUUCUGUAUCACAAUGUCCAUAAUAUUACGAUUUUAGUGCGACUUAAUGAUAAAAAAAAGACUGUUUAUUUGUGUCCAUGAUACAGUAAUACCUCGGCUUACAAAUGACUUACUUUACGAGCGUUUUGAUUUACGAGUAAAAAAAAAUCACUAGACUUGCCUUGGUUUAUGAGCAGUGACUUGGUGUACGAGUAUCCUGUUUGUACAAGUUGAAGACACGCAUGUGGGUUCCCUUUGUUCACCGCAAGAUGAAAGUGCUCAGAGCGGAAAACAAUGGAAAGGGAGUCUCAGUCCGUGUACACUCGCAGAGGUAGGACCCGCGCGCUUGUGUCCGCUUAUGUUUGUGCUCUAGUACGCAAUCUUUGUUUUCAGUACUACAGUUCUGGUUAACCCGGUAGCUGCAGGGAUCAUGUUUCUUAAAGGCCCCUCUAAGCGAGAAUAAUGAGAAAAAAUUAUCACUCACGCAAACCAUUUCAUAAUAUAUAUCAACGCACUUGUGAUCAGUUUAUGCAUCAUCUAUUUUGGGGGGUUUAUAUCAUGGCAGAAAUUUGGCCUGUCGCUGAUACACGGCAAAGCCACAAAUUUAGCCCGUCGCUGCUACCGGGUUAACAAGUUUUUUGGUGUGCGAGUGAAUUCCGGAAUGAAACAAGCUUGUAACCGAGGUAUGACUGUAUUUCCUUUUCUGCCAUAAUGUAAUAAUAAUAAUGCCAUACCAGACUAGAUCAUCCUAACAAAAGAAACAGCCAAUAAUGGGAAUAAAACAACUCUUCGCAAGUCCUCACGCAAAUCAUACCACGACGAAAUUAAAACUCUUGGAGGUGAAAACAAAUGCCAGACGUUGUACAUACCGGUGUGUUGAGCAGCCGUUCUUUUUAGGGUAGUGCCGCGUUACCACCACAGAGGGUGACCAACACGGGUUCACGGGCCAUCCAUAAAGCUAUACAGAUAAUAAAGUAAAUGUUUCGUCCAAUGUCUGAAUUCAUAUCCACACGCUUUUCUUCUUCACACGAUAUUGAAGUAUAAUUCAACUUAAAGGUGGCAAAAAAUCAAGAAUCAAAAUACUAGACUGACUCCAAUGCCUCCUCUAGAUUCUCUGCCCUUCCAUCCUUCUCUCUGUCUCCUGCGUCACCCCAGCAAGUCACUCGUCAACACAACAAAGCCAGAAACACAUAAACAGCGAUACAUUAACAUACGAGGCACUGGACGAGAAGGGACGUAAGGGGGACAGCCAUUUUCUCUGGGAGAGACAAGCUAUAUUUACACAUCCCAGGUAGAACAAAAAAACAAGCCUUCUAUUUGGUGUACUGAGGGUUGCUUUUCCCUUGCAACUUCUACUUUGUUCUUCCUGGGGUGUGGAGUCUGGUCUGUCUUUCCCAGGUAGAAGAAAAAACAAGGCUUCUAUUUGGUGUACUGAGAGUCCCUUUUCCCUUGUAACUUAUACCUUGUUCUUCCUGCAAUGUGUAGUCUCGACUGUCUUUCCCAGUACAAACUAAGGAAAAAAUAUCUCUGUCCCUUAUGCUCCUUCUCCUCAAGACGCCUCAAUUCUUAGCCUACGGUGAGAUUUAUUUUGAUGCAACAGUAUGGGGUUAUCAGUGGCUCAUUACGCCCCUCGGUUCCCCCAUAAUAGACGGCCAGACCUUCUUCGCCAGACCCCUCGGUGACCCUGGCUUGACCUCACUAUCACGGCCCAUUCCAGCGAGUCGGUCGAGACGAAUGCUGACCCUACGGCAAAAACUUUAUUUAUUUUUUAUCUUAAAUUUGAUUGGCAUGAAGUGCAGAACUGUGUCACUGAUUUGAUGGUAAAAAUUGAUGAACUAUGAUGUGUUGACGAGGGAUUUGUGUUAGUUUGUGUUCUUUUUUAAAGUGAGAGUGAGAAUGUAUCAAGACAGAUGAUGUGUUGAUGAAAAUAUUGUGUUACUUGUUUUACUCUGCGAUUUUUUUAUAUAUAAGUGCAAAUAUAAAAAAAAAUUAUGUUUUGAUUAAGAAUUUGUGUUAGUUCGUGUUCUCUUUUAAUUUGGAAGUGAAAAUAUGUUGCGAAAUAUGAUCUACUGAGUAAAAAUUGCGUUAGUUUAAAUUCUUUUUUAAAGUGAAUCCGAAUACGUCGAGAUAACAUGUCCAAACACCACAGACUAAAGGACCAUCCAGCAGGGUGUCGGGAGCAUGACCAAAAGCGUUGCCAUAGGGUGAACACUCUUCCUAUCACACUACACAGACAUAAUAAUUUGUACCAAGUAAUAAUUUUGCUUUCCGCCGGUGCAAUGGACAACUUUGGUGCCGACAACCAUGACUACCGACUUGCAUGACGGCUGUUGCGCACAUUCUUCUUAACCUCUUAGUUACGAUAAUAUGAAAGACGUAUUUUGCGGGAUUAAAGUGCUAAUUUUGAGUGCCGAACUAGACUAAGCCAAUGCAUGUUGUGUGUGUACGUACUUGCGUAAAGGUUGAAGUUCUUAAGUGAUUUAUUCAAGCAAAGAUUAGGGAGUGAAGUCUUGUUUGAAUACUACUUUUCUGGGGGUUCAAUUUAUAUUAUAGUUAAUUAUUGUGCGAUAGUGUAUUAGAAGUGAAGAAAGAUGAAUAAUAUAACGUCACUGACAAGUUGUGUGUGUGUGAAGAAGGGAAAGAGAGGACCAAGAGGAGGAGGAGGACCUAUGAAGCAAUACAAAGUGAAAUAAGUCAAAAGAAGAUGCAGAAACCUUGUCCUAACCACCUGUUGAUAUCACUUGAGUAUAUCCAUGGGGGGGAACUGACUGUUACAUGCCGUCAACCUUUCCACAAGCACAUACACACUACCACAUGCCAAAGAGUGUGUUCCCCUCCCCUUCCUCCCUCCCUCCCUGUGUAUUGCUAGAGCGAAUCUAAAACAUCUGGAACAAGGAGUAAUUCCACAUCAGCCGGGAAAUUGGUGAGCAUCAGAGACAUCAUAACCUGCAAUAGUAACAUCCUUAACAUACAACUACAGAGGCAAGACCUUAUUGCAUACAGUAUUAGGAACAGCUCUGAAGGAAGGGCAACAGAGGAGGACCACUCACUCACUGCCUGUCCCAUCUACUGUUUGUGCACACCAUGGGGAGUUUAUACAAUGUGCGAGUCUUGUGGCGUAAGUGCUGCAAGACGAGGUGUGGGUGAGGAUAGAACAGCCUUUAGCCUACGACGGAGGUAGUAUGUACAAUAUGCUGUGACUAAUAUGUGUCUUGCUGUGACUAAUAUGUGUCGAAGUGGACUGCAGAAGCUCCCUCUCACCCAGAUCUGCUCACGUGAGUCUGUCUACAGCGAGGAAAUAGUCUAGUGUUGACAGCGGAGGUCGUAUGCACUACCAGCCUCCUGCAGACUCCUUAUGUUCUUAUAUACAAAAUGCCGUGAAUCGCAAGUGUCUACAUCAAUAGUUCUAAGCCUUGGGAAACGUUUUGGGGUUCCGUAGGAGUACGAGUGUAUGUUUUGUGAGACAUAAAUUACUAUAUAGAACAGUUCAGCUUUACUUCACUCAGCCAUGUCGUCUUUCAACCCAGUCUGCAUCUCCCAUUUGCAUAUCUAUACCUACUAAACAAACUGUCGAUAAAACACAUGAUUCUUACUGCUAUGCGAAUAAACAGUGUACUAUCCAAGCUACUUUUUAUCCUAUCUACACCAGGACGGGUGGACUGGCUGAGGGGGGAAGGGACACAAUAAUAGCUAAGGAAAGUGUCGCUCGUCUAAAUGGACCUCAGAUGGACGCUUCCCCAGUCAGAUCUCACGUGAGUCACUCUGUCAGUAGUUGCACUUCAGACGUUGGCCGUACUGUUCCUGCGUUGAGACUAGCAUACCCCUACAACACCUUAUCUUAGAGCCCUGAUGUUGGCUUGCAUAUAUAAAGAGACUGUCUUCCAUACCUAGCACCACUGGAAGGUAGAGAAGGUCAGGUGCGUGGUUGCCAUCAACCACCCACAGACACGGGAAGGACUUGCUUGCAUGCAUAACCCUAAGAAUGAUGGUGUGGAAAUUAUACAAAGAAAUCACAUAUGUUCUUGCAUGCAAAAUCACUGUGGUCAGUAUUA